UGUUAAAUUCAUUCAUUUCUACUGUUAAAAAUUGGCGUGGUUAACAGAAUAACUAGAUAAUUACACAUGCCGUGCCAUAUGUACCUCAUUCUGGCGUACAGGGAACAGGUUUUAACAAUAGAAAUGGAUAGAAUUUUUAACU
rfam:Gossypium raimondii Chr08_contig_778, whole genome shotgun sequence.